UGGGGAAUUUUGGACAAUGGGCGCAAGCCUGAUCCAGCCAUGCCGCGUGCGGGAAGAAGGCCUUCGGGUUGUAAACCGCUUUUGUCAGGGAAGAAAUCCUUUGAGCUAAUACCUGGGGUCCAUGACGGUACCGUAAGAAUAAGCACCGGCUAACUACGUGCCAGCAGCCGCGGUAAUACGGAGGAUCCAAGCGUUAUCCGGAAUCAUUGGGUUUAAAGGGUCCGUAGGCGGUUUAAUAAGUCAGUGGUGAAAGCCCAUCGCUCAACGAUGGAACGGCCAUUGAUACUGUUAGACUUGAAUUACAAGGAAGUAACUAGAAUAUGUAGUGUAGCGGUGAAAUGCUUAGAUAUAGGAAGGAACACCAGUGGCGAAGGCGACCACCUGGACUGAUACUGACACUGAGGUGCGAAAGCGUGGGGAGCAAACA
rnacentral:rRNA from 1 species